ensembl:lncRNA PRSS40A serine protease 40A (pseudogene)
CCCAGGCCACCGGCCUGAUGAGGGAAGCAGGGGCAGAGCGCUCAGGCCAGGGCCGGCGGGGGCACUGCGCACUGGCCGCCUCCCUCCUCUGGCCAAUCCUCCUGCCGCUGCGCGUCUAGUCCACCUCGUCCCUCUCUGCAGUCUUCCUGCCUGAGCCCUUCCAACUUCAGGAGGCAGAGGUCGGUGUCAUGGACAACACUGUCUGCGGAUCCUUUUUCCAGCCCCAGUACCCCGGCCAGCCAAGCAGCAGUGACUACACCAUCCACGAGGACAUGCUGUGCGCUGGGGACCUCAUAACAGGAAAGGCCAUUUGCCGAGCAUGUUCCUACGUGAAGCAUGGAGUUACGCAAUGGCCUGCCUGUCCAUGAAGUUCCUCUGGCCUCCUCCGAUUCUGUGGCUGCAAAUCCACACCUAGGAGCUCCGCAGGCCUGCUGGAGCACAGCGCCUGUAGGUUUCUGCGCCUGGAACCCACCUCAGGACCACAAGCCGCAUUCAGUCUCUUUUUAUAGAUCUGGAACCCGAAGCCCAGCGUGGUUAGGAACUUGUCUAAGGUCACUUGGUAGUAAAUACUGGAACAGGGAUUCAAACCCACAUCUCCAGAGAGAGCUCAGAAGCCUUGUGCUUUCCAUGAGUGCAGCUGUUUCCAGAGGCCUCCGGCCCUGUCUCACCUUCCCAGACUGCCUUGAGAGGCUCUAGCUGGCCUGUCUCUAGUGUGGCCAGAUUCUAUCUGGUCAGUGGCAAGGGAGGACCCCAGGCCACAAUACUGACAUCAGGGAACAGAACAGAUCUGCAGGGCCAGUGAGUGGUGCUACGGAAAGGCUGGGAGUGGCCCCUGCGUGGUUUUCCCUAGACCCAUCGUCAGGGGCUCCAGGCCUCCAUGUGUUGUGCUGCACGGGCUACUGGCUCCCUCUCCAAAAUCGACCCUGGGUGAGCUGUGGAGGCGAGAAGGCAGUGUGCAUUUCAGAAACUAACCAAAAUCAGUGAGAAAAUCUUGGAGAAACUGAAGUUACCCUGGGCGGCUGUAGCUGGGAAUGGAGGAUGGGGCAGCCAGGAGCCAGACUUAAGAAGGCUGUUCACACUCUGCUCUUGUUGCUUGCCUCCCACACCUCGUGACAAAUGCUGCCUGGUCCCGCUCAGGUGUCAGGAUUGCAAGGUGGCUGUGUCAGCCAGUGUGAGGGCCCCACAAGCCACCGGUGUUGUGUGCCCUCCAUCCUCCUCCUGAAACCCCCCUGGGUGGGACAGUUGCUAUCCAGGGAAAUGGGCCUCUUCCACUGUGAUCUCCUCCAGGGCUUUCACCGGCAGGCCCGCCUGCAGGAGUGGCUUGUGGGGUGGCAGGAUGCAGGAGAGAGUGAGUGAGGUGCUUCGUGCCUGGGGCCCUCUGCUCUGGGGCCACCCUCCUCGUUGACUCACUGGGAGCCUUGCUAGUGCAGACAGGGUGACCAGGAGCUGCUAAGCCCAGGGAAUGCACACACGUGCACUGGAGCAGCUGCCUAUCUUAAGAGUCCAAUGCCCACCGAAACACAGUAGGCUGCACAGCAUCCACUACUGGAAGUAGAGUUGCUGGAAAAGACAGACCAAACAUACUUAAUAAGCACAAUAAAUAUCUUUUUGGAUACAGAAAAAUAUUAUUAGUAAUAAGACCUAAGACAAAGAAACUACCGAAAAGAACCAAGUCAAAAUAUUACAUAUGCAAAAUGUAAUCGUUGAAUUAAAGACCACAUUACAUUGAGCAAACAGGGUCAAUGCAGAUGAAAGAGGAAGCCAGUCGUUACUUUAAAGGUAUGGCUGUCACAGUGUGGACUUUGGAGCCGGUCCACUUUAGUUGGGGUAAUUUGUAGAGCAUUUAUUUACAAAAGUACUAAUCACCCAGGUAUGUUUGGGCUGAAGGCUCCGGGAAAGCCCAGGGCAGGGGCCUGGCACAGGCAUCAGAAGCAGAGCUCUUGCCACCCAAGGCCCUGAGGGACCAGUGAAGUAGGAGCCGUGGGGAGAGGGUGCCUGAGAGGAGCAGGGACACUCAGCCGAGGGACACAGCCAGCCAAGGCGGCCUCACAAAGAGGAUUUUCAUGGAAACAAAUGCCCUGACUACUUCAUUCCCACAUCUUCGGCUGAGGCUCCCAUGGCAAGUGGAGAGAGCAGCUGCAGGUGGCCUCGGUCACUUGGGUCAGCUCUCCUGCUUAAAACAAACACAGAAAUCAAUAAAAGUGUUGAUUGUAUUAUU